rnacentral:rRNA from 1 species
UGAGGAAUAUUGGACAAUGGGCGCAAGCCUGAUCCAGCCAUGCCGCGUGUGUGAAGAAGGUCUUCGGAUUGUAAAGCACUUUAAGUUGGGAGGAAGGGCAGUUACCUAAUACGUGAUUGUUUUGACGUUACCGACAGAAUAAGCACCGGCUAACUCUGUGCCAGCAGCCGCGGUAAUACAGAGGGUGCAAGCGUUAAUCGGAAUUACUGGGCGUAAAGCGCGCGUAGGUGGUUUGUUAAGUUGGAUGUGAAAUCCCCGGGCUCAACCUGGGAACUGCAUUCAAAACUGACAAGCUAGAGUAUGGUAGAGGGUGGUGGAACUUCCUGUGUAGCGGUGAAAUGCGUAGAUAUAGGAAGGAACACCAGUGGCGAAGGCGACCACCUGGACUGAUACUGACACUGAGGUGCGAAAGCGUGGGGAGCAAACAGGAUUAGAUACCCACGUAGUCCCUGAGCGGGCUGGCAAGGCGCAU